UGGACAAAUUAUUGUAAUCGACUAUAUUCACGGCGUGAAACAAGGGAUUAUACUGUUUUUAAACGGAAAGUGAAUCAAUUAACAUAAUAGACUCCU
rnacentral:pre_miRNA from 1 species